CACAGGCUGUCAUUUGAGGAACUUGUCACAACCCUUUGUUUCCUAUCUUGUUUUGGGAGGAUACUUCUGUUCCCUUGGAUUGGACCAUGUCCAGUUCUCACCCUUAAGGCCUUUCCUUGUCUUAGUCAAUUUAACUCCUCUGCUCUGUAAUCCUUGGAUUACAAAACAAGUUGUUUCUCCUUUCCAGGGACAAGAGGAGCUUCCCUAUUGUUCUUAAUUCUUAGGGCAGAGAAAAAGGCACAAUCAUAUUAACUUGUAGCAGACGAGAAGGAAUUGGGUAGAUUAGUGAAAUCCUUUAUUCCUGCUGAUUUUUUUUUCUUUUUAAGACGAGGUCUUGCUCUUUUAUUCAGGCUGGAGUGCAGUGGUGUGAGCACAGCUCACUGCAGCCUCAAACUCCUGGGCUCAAGUGCUGCUCCUGCCUCAGCCUCCUGCAAAGCUGGAACUACAGAGGCAGCACUCAAGCUCUGAUUCUCACUGUUGCCCAGCGUCAGUUGUUUAGCAGACAUGAUUUAGAUUGCUACAACCCGUUUGUCACAUCUCAAAUAUGAACAUCACCCAGAGGUUACCCAGGUGAUCCCAGGCCAUCUCGGGAUGUCCUCCACAUUCCACAAUUCAGUAGCCAAAGGAUUGAACUGAUACCUGCAGAAGACUUCCUGGAUUCCCUCUCCAAGACCCACAAUCCACUAUGAUUGGAUAAGGCCUACCCUCUAAUUGAUCAGUACUACACACACACACACACACACACACACACACACUCACUCACCAAGGCUUGGUUUCCUUUUCUAAAAAACAAAAGAGGGUAAAGGAAUGCCCUCCCAAGUCUCUUUCUAAAAUUUUCAAGUUCUACAGGCUCAGUAGGCAUCCAGCCUCUCAGCACUACCCUAUGUCCCCUAUGCCCACGUAGAUAAACUUGUUUUAAUAAAAGCUAACUUCCGAUUUAGCACACAGUAUUAAGAAUUAAAGUUGGAUGAAGCUAUUACUGUUACGAAUAGCCUUGGGCUAUUUUUCAAUUCACCUAUGUCAUACGUCAAGUGAUUAAGAAAAUCAAAUGCUGUAUCCAGGAAAAUAGAACAUGAAAAGGCAGGAAUAAUGUGUGUCUUUAGGACACCCAUUUGAACACAAAAGAAUUAGGGCCCAAAUUUCACUAUAUGUCAAAUGUGAAUUUAUUUCUAUAAAAGGCUUCAGAACUCUCUAAGCUUUGCAUUGUCUGAAGAGUGCUACAGAGCCAUCUGUGACUUGUAGUGGUUGCAUCCAGAUCUUUGAAAAUGCUUUUUCUUCUUAAUCAAGUUAGGAUAUUGGAUUUCCAGAAGAGUAGGAUCUCUAUAUUUUGAUACUCGCCUGAUUUCUUAAAGCUCCUAAAGGUGCCUUUUGACUUCCUAACUGAUUCUAACAAACACAUGGCUUCAGUCUAUCUGGCUUCCCCUUUGUCUAAGAACACUGACAUUAGGAGUUGCCAAUUGGCACCUCUAUGUGGACACCUUCCACCCAGAAACCAUGUUGAGUUUUCAGGUUUCACAAUGAUGCUGAUUUGAGUCAGCACUGUUGGAAAUGAGGGUCUUUUUAAAAAUGCUUCAGAUUCCCAGUUAUUCCUACCUUUGUCUCUUCAGUCCUCAACAUCCUCUGGGGCAAAACUAGAGAGCUGCACUGUUUCUGUGUGAGGUGAACCUGCGUCCACAGAGGAGCAGCACUCACGUUCCCCACUCAAGACCUGUGUAAUUUAUUUGUAGCAAAGCUCCAUCCUUAAUUCACUAUUAUCUUGUCUUUCUGGCAUCCUCCUUCCCUCUGUGCUAUGCAUGUUGGGGUCGGUGAGGGGAGCAAUGACCCAGAGAGGGGCAUCUUUUGCAUGGCAAAGUCCUUUGGAUGAGCUGAGGAUUCCCAUCUUGACUGAAGUUUUCCAGUUUUUAAAUCUCAUCUUUCAUUUUGUGAUGCUUGAUAAAGAUAGCAAAGUAAUAUGAGUUAGUAAAUGUUAACACGUGCCGCAAAUACAAAAGCAGUUUAUUCUGUCAUUGAUAAUGGAGGAAAAUAUGCAAUAAUAGUAUUGAAUUUGCACUCAUAGGUAAAAGCCUUCAUUGCAAAGCAAAAUCUGAUUUUUGUUUGUGACCAGCAUGAAUGCUGACCUCUGCCCUUUGAAUGAUCUUUCCGUCUCCCGGAAAGUUCAUGAAAAGGUCAUGGAGCUGCGCUGACUUCCUCUGUGUGUGCAUGGACGUGUCUUUGCUAUUGAUCCAGGAAAAGACCAUUCUGUGGUUUUGUUCAUUUUAUUUUUAAUGGAAACCUAAUCAGUAAUUAUAAAAUGUUUCUAGAAGAAUUCACGCCUGAGUAAGUGAAGAAAGCUAACCUCAUUUCAUGCUGAUUAUUUAACCUUGGUCAUAACUCCCAAUUAAAUGCAUUUCUUGAACCCGUAACAAAGCAAAAUAUGGCACUUACUGGUCAGAAAUUCAAAGCAGGAGAGAGAAAAAAUGGCUUAAUAGCUGGAAAUAAAAACAUCAGUGAAUUUUUCUUAUGGAUUCCUUCAUGUCAAAUUCAUAUCAUGAGUGACUCGCAGUUUUCCCUUUAGAUCAUCUUGGCAUCAUCGAGGAGCAAAAAUAAAAAUGAUUUCUAG
rnacentral:lncRNA from 1 species